GGUUAAAAAGCUCGUAGUUGGAUUUCUGUUGAGGGCGGCCGGUCCGCACUAUGUGCGUGUAUCUGGUUCGGUCUGGCAUCCUCUUGGGGAUCGUUCGUGUGCUGAUUGCAUGCGACGGAAUUCAAGACUUUACUUUGAGGAAAUUAGAGUGUUCACGGCAAGCUAUCGCUUUGAAUACAUUAGCAUGGAAUAAUAAUAUAGGGCGUAAGUUCUAUCUUGUUGGUUCAUAGAAAAUACGCAAUGAUUAAUAGGGAUAAUUGGGGGCACUCGUAUUAACGCGUCAGAGGUGGAAUUCUUAGAUUGCGUUACGACGAACUACAGCGAAAGCAUUUGCCAAGGAUGUUUUCAUUGAUCAAGAACGAAAGUAUGGGGAUCGAAGACGAUUUAGAUACCGUCGUAGUCUAUACCAUAAACUAUGCCAACUAGAGAUUGGAGGUCGUUUUAUUUAAUGACUCCUUCAGCACCUUU
rnacentral:rRNA from 1 species